AUCUCUUUCUGGAGAUCCCUGCCUGUCUGAUGCUCUUCCAAAGAGAUGAAGCUCAAGGUUCAUCUCAAGGCAGCGGGAUGACAAGGGGUGUAGAAGAUACAGGCUGCGUUUUGCUCUCCUCAAGAAACACAUGAAGAGGGCAGCCACUUUUAUCUGUCAAGACUGUUUUUGAAGGUUUGAAGCUGCUGUCUCCACUGUCCCCUAGAAGCCAUUAAUUUCUGUUUUUUUCUGAACUUUUUAUUGUCUGGCAUCAUUAAUAUUCCAAAUGUGUGGAUUUAGUUUUUAUCUUUUUUAAUCAUAAGAUAAAAGGGCAGAUUGGUAAUGUUGGGUAAAAUAAUUCCAACAAUUUCAUAAAGAUCUUUUGCUGUGGCUAGGGUGGAGGAUUUAAAUUUGUUUGGUAUUAUCUCUUCAUUUUAUGAUUUUUUUUUUCUAAUCAUCCUUUCAGACACCUAACUGAGCUGUGAUAUGACCACAGAGCUGAUUGCAUUGUCUGCAAUAGCACUGUCUUUAUACUUUGGACUCGAAGUGUCAGUGGGGCUACAGACCAGAGUUAGAACUAGUGCAUAUAGAGGAUACAUGUAUUCACUCAUCAGGGUCUGGCUCUAUAGAACAUAUUCUGAGUAUUAAAAUGGCUUUCCAUUUUCCCCAGAUAUCUUUUCCUUGAAAAAUAUUGCUGCUUCUUCAAGAACCUUCUGUCAUGCUGAUGAGACCCUCCCAAUGAGGAGCACAUUGGCACUAGUUGCCCGCUUAAUGCAUAUUCAUAAUUAAUGAAUGUGCUGUGUUUUGCAUUCACUCAGCUGCCCCAUUAUGGUGGCAUCAAAGUGGAUGCAGAGGUUUUAAAUGUGAAAGGCUGAUUAAGAAGUGAGGGGAAGGCAAAUUUCACACUUCAGUUGAAGCUUCUGAGUCAGUCCCUCUGCUGCAGAUUGCCUAAUGCAGUUGGCUGCUCCCACAGCUGCUGCUGAGCACAAGGAGCAAUCCAGCUUGCCCUGAAGUCUCUGGUUAACAGCAAAGGUCAUGGAAAAGCAAUACUGUGGUAUUUGACAAGUUAACACUGCAAUUAAAGAGAGACUAGGAAAUAAAAUCCUGCUGAUGGCUGGCUUACAAACAUUGGGUCUCUGUGUUCUGGCUGAUAUUCAGGACAGAUGCCUAUGAAAAACAAAUGAAAUCCAUCCCUGUUGCACAGCCUGCAGAAAGAGUAUGUCUUUCGCACCAGGAAGGGCACAGAUAGAGUUCAGAUCUGCUCAGAUGCAUGUCCAGCUGUAUCCUGGCAACGUGCCCCCCUGCUGACUGUGGUAUUUGGUGCAGUGCAGCCGUCACUGUGAUUCCUCUAAAGAUGCAUUUAACCAUUUGUUUUUUUCCUCCAUCCCCCAGGUUCAUGCUUGUGGCCUCUUUCAGACCCUCCAAUACCUUUCCCAUUUCCUACCCUGUUUCAUAGAAUCAUAGAAUAUCUUGCAUUGGAAGGGACUCACAAGGAUCACUGAGUGCAAACCCUGGCUCCACACAGCACCACCCAAACCGUAUGUCUGAGAGUGAUGUCCCAAUACUUCCUGAGCUCCAGCAGCUUGGGGCUGUGUCUGCUCAUUGGGCUGACUGUUCUGUGCCCUCUGGGGCAAAAUCUUUCGUGUGCCAUUACCUCAGACCCUGCUGCUGUCACAGAGAGCAGAACUGAGUGCUGCCCCUCUGUGUCAUGUGAGGAGCUGCAGGCCACAAUGAGGCCUACGCUCAGCCUGCUCUGCUCUGGGCCCAACAGACUCAGUGGCCUCAGCUGCUCUUUUCCAUCCUUGUAGCCCUCUGUAGCCCACUUUGAUCUUGGAUGUAAAGCACAGGAGAGCUGUGAUGCUAUAGCCCACGGGUUUUACUCCCAGUGCCAGGAUCUCCAGGGGGACAGACUGCUCACCCUUGGAACACUCUGUGUUAUCUCCCAGCUGAGAGAGCACUCCUUUGAGAUGUAAGGUUUAUCGGGAAAGAAAAAAAAAAUCAUUUUAAACAUUUAAAUGUUCUCAGACUGUGCAAUCCCUUGAGCACGUUGGAAGGAAAGUGUAAUUCCUCAGAUCUGCAGGGUGCCUCACUUCUAUUGCUCCCACUGCCCCAGUAGGGUUGGAGAGCUCGUGUAAGCCAGGAGGGACCACAGAAAUACCUGGUCUGUGUGAUCUUUGCAGAAAAAUCCUCUCCAGAGUGCCUUCCUAUAGGGUAUGGGAGGCUAAUGUUGACCCUCUGAGAAAACCAGGAUCUGCUUAGGUGUGCACUGAGUAGUUGGGUGAAGGGAGCGCCUUAAAAUGCAAACUGUAAUUCCUAGGGGAGCACAUCUCCUCUCCUUAGACAUAAAUCACUUUUUUUUCCUCUUUUUCUAUUUUUUUCUUUUUGCAUUAGUUGAAUGUAUAAUUUAUUUAAGUUAUCAAACAUGAGGACAAGACAUUUGUGACCCAUUCUAUCUCUACAAAUUUUGUGUGAAACCCGCUGAAGCCUGCAGUGGGUAAAUGGAUUCCCACAACUCUAUUUCCUAGCCCUUUCUUCCCUUCUAGCACCCUCUGAAAUAGCUUUCCUAUCCUUUGGUUUAUUAGAUUUGCCUGAACCUGGCUUUGUAACAUCAUUAUAAAAGUGACAAGACCUCUUCCUGGACAUUAUUGCAGGCUGAUGUGUUGCGUGCAGCUCACUGACUGCUCACAAAAAUACCUCUGUGUAUGAGAAGGAGAGGGAAUAGUGGCCAUUGUAUGGUAAAAGGCCAAGAGAAAAAUGGAACACUGCCCUCAUAGUGGUGUGUGACAAUAGAUCCAUUGUCCUUCAUUAUUAGAUCUCAAAUGCUCCUGUUGAAGGUGACUGGUCAGAAAAUGGAAUUUUCACUCUGCAGAAAACUUGCAAGUUUAGUUUUCAACCCAGCAUAAGUCAAAAUUAAAGACUAGCUGAAGUUUUGGAAAUGUUUUGUCCCUAAAAAAAUUGAAAUGGCUUUCUUGAAAUGCUUCAUAAUGGUAACUUGGAACAUUUUGCUCUUAUUUCUGCUGUCAUCAUAAUAGCUAAAAUUAUUCUAUUGAAACAAAAUGAUUGGAAUGUAUCACAAUGAAAUGUAAUUUCCCAGUGAAAGCACUAAUGGAAUUUGAUACUUUCCUGAAAAUCUGCCUGAUUUAAAUAAAAGUAAAAAAAUAAAAAAAAUUAUUGUUG
ensembl:lncRNA